rnacentral:rRNA from 1 species
ACUCCUACGGGAGGCAGCAGUGGGGAAUAUUGCACAAUGGGCGCAAGCCUGAUGCAGCCAUGCCGCGUGUAUGAAGAAGGCCUUCGGGUUGUAAAGUACUUUCAGCAGUGAGGAAGGCGGGUACGUUAAUAGCGUGCUCGUUUGACGUUAGCUGCAGAAGAAGCACCGGCUAACUCCGUGCCAGCAGCCGCGGUAAUACGGAGGGUGCGAGCGUUAAUCGGAAUUACUGGGCGUAAAGCGUCAUUGCAGGUGGUUUGUUAAGUCAGAUGUGAAAGCCCGGGGCUCAACCUCGGAAUUGCAUUUGAAACUGGCAGACUAGAGUACUGUAGAGGGGGGUAGAAUUUCAGGUGUAGCGGUGAAAUGCGUAGAGAUCUGAAGGAAUACCGGUGGCGAAGGCGGCCCCCCUGGACAGAUACUGACACUCAGAUGCGAAAGCGUGGGGAGCAAACAGGAUUAGAUACCCUGGUAGGAUAGCG